GGGGAUAUAGACUACAACAUUCAGUAGGCAAGUCUGUAUUUGACUGAGAGCAGAAGUUCAUCAAUCUCCUUCAAACGUCUGAACGGAAGGGAAGUCGAGCGCGAGCCGUGACAGAGACCACACGACUGAGAUCUCACACGGCGAAAUAAAAUGAACUGCACGUCGACUUCGAUCGCGUCUGUGAAAAUGAACGGCAGAUAAAGCAUCAGUAGGCGACAAGCUGCAUCCUGAUGCCAGUUCAGCACCUGGAGGAAAAGAUGUCACCUGAAGAUCUUAAGUACUAGC